ensembl:lncRNA
CUCUAAUUGUAGAUGUGACAUUUGAGGCCACAAUUAACGAGCUCCCAGCCUGCAGCAAGCCUGUCCUUUGUCACUGCAGCUUUCACCUGGGACUCGGUGGCCUUUCAGCAGAAUCCCUGGGACUCCCCAGGGAAUCCAUCCCAUGGGAGGGAGGAGAAGCACCGAGGCCUCCUACAGAAAUUCAACUUUCAUGUCAAGGAGUCUCCAGCACACAAAUAAUGAGUGUGGCUGUAAGCUGGCAGGAUUGUUUUUAACUGAGUGGAUGUCAGCAUUUGCUGACUUUGAGAAGGAUGCCAGGCUUCCCUGCUGAGGAUCUUGGUUUUUCUCCCUCUCCCCAUGUGCUGGGCAGCUCCAGAGGCUCUCCCUGGGCUCCAGAAGGAGAAGGCUCCCCUCUCGUGGCUGCCAGGGAAAAUGGCAUUUUCUGCACUGCCUUCCCCUCUUCCCGAGCUGUGCAGAAACACAAUGUUGAAGGACCUCUCAUUGAGCACAGAUGUACUGAAACUCAAAUACACUGAAUUUCCUUCUCUCCCUGCUCCCACCCCAGAGACACCUAAAUUCCAGGAAAUCAUUUGAUCCUUGGGAUUUGAAGCUGGACCUACAAGGAAAAGGUAAAACUUUUGUUUUGGAUUCAAGGCUACGAUCUUGGACAGCUCUCAAAAGGAAAUAUAGAAAAAGGUAGUGCAGGAAAGAGGCAGCCUGAAAUUAGAGCUGUUGUUAAGACAAAUAGAACAGAUUUAGAUUUCAGUUCUUACCCUGGUGCUAUUUUUAUAUUAAAAACAGUCUAAAAAG